rnacentral:rRNA from 1 species
GUCUACAGACAUGCUACCUUGAACAAGCCCGAUCCCAUCUGAUCUCAGAAGCUAAGCAGGGUCGGGCCUGGUUAGUACUUGGAUGGGAGACCACCUAGGAAGACCAGGUGCUGUAGGCA